AUUCAGCUGACGAGUCCCAAAUAGGACGAUUAUAUGCAUCCUGGAU
rfam:Schistosoma rodhaini strain Burundi genome assembly, scaffold: SROB_scaffold0003919